UUCUUUUUAAAAUUUCUUUAUUUAAUAUUUGAGUACACUGUAGCUGUCUUCAGACACACCAGAAGAAGGCAUCAGAUCUCAUUACAGAAUGAGAAUUUUGUGGUUGUUGGGAAUUGAACUCAGAACCUCUGGAGGAGCAGCCAGUGCUCUUAACCACUGAGCCAUCUCUCCAGACCCCAUACAGUUCUUUAAAAUCUAAAAAUAAAUGUCAAAAUUAGACCCCUCACAUUGUUAUUUAAAACUACUCAAGGAAAGCAAACACCACAUAUUAAUAUCUUUUAUUAUCAGACUUUGUGAGCCAAGAGACAUUGCUUCCCUUAGCUGUCUGUGAGGGAUAAGGCCAAGGUAACUUCUUUCUUUGUGAGUAGGCUCAUUUGGCCCACCUUUAUAUUCUUUCCAUAUAAAAAUAAAAGUCCGAGUCCAGAUUCUUCUUCUGGUUACAACUGCUGUCACUUACAGGUGCUGUGUUCAGUUCACCUUUAUGAACUAGGGACAAAGCAAUGUGUAAAUUCCAUUAAAGCCUCAGCAUUUGUGUUGGGGCCCCUUAGAGAUUUGCUUGAGGGGUACAGAGUUUGGGAAUGCAGCAGCUUCCCCCCACAUUCAACAUGGUUAUAUUUGCAAUCUAGCCAGAGUGAUGAUACAAGUUUCCCUUCAAAGACAAAAAAAAAAAAAAAAAA
rnacentral:lncRNA from 1 species